rnacentral:rRNA from 1 species
AUUGAACGCUGGCGGCAUGCCUUACACAUGCAAGUCGAACGGUAACAGAUCUUCGGAUGCUGACGAGUGGCGAACGGGUGAGUAAUACAUCGGAACGUGCCUAGUAGUGGGGGAUAACUACUCGAAAGAGUGGCUAAUACCGCAUGAGAUCUACGGAUGAAAGCAGGGGAUCGCAAGACCUUGUGCUACUAGAGCGGCCGAUGGCAGAUUAGGUAGUUGGUGGGAUAAAAGCUUACCAAGCCGACGAUCUGUAGCUGGUCUGAGAGGACGAUCAGCCACACUGGGACUGAGACACGGCCCAGACUCCUACGGGAGGCAGCAGUGGGGAAUUUUGGACGAUGGGCGCAAGCCUGAUCCAGCAAUGCCGCGUGCAGGAUGAAGGCCUUCGGGUUGUAAACUGCUUUUGUACGGAACGAAAAGCCCUGGGUUAAAACCCUGGGGUCAUGACGGUACCGUAAGAAUAAGCACCGGCUAACUACGUGCCAGCAGCCGCAGUAAAAC